UCUGUAGCAAGGUUAACCGAAUAGGGGAGCCGGAGGGAAACCGAGUCUUAAUUGGGCGUUAAGUUGCAGGGUAUAGACCCGAAACCCGGUGAUCUAGCCAUGGGCAGGUUGAAGGUUGGGUAACACUAACUGGAGGACCGAACCGACUAAUGUUGAAAAAUUAGCGGAUGACCUGUGGCUGGGGGUGAAAGGCCAAUCAAACCGGGAGAUAGCUGGUUCUCCCCGAAAGCUAUUUAGGUAGCGCCUCGUGAAUUCAUCUCCGGGGGUAGAGCACUGUUUCGGCUAGGGGGCCAUCCCGGCUUACCAACCCGAUGCAAACUGCGAAUACCGGAGAAUGUUAUCACGGGAGACACACGGCGGGUGCUAACGUCCGUCGUGAAGAGGGAAACAACCCAGACCGCCAGCUAAGGUCCCAAAGUCAUGGUUAAGUGGGAAACGAUGUGGGAAGGCCCAGACAGCCAGGAUGUUGGCUUAGAAGCAGCCAUCAUUUAAAGAAAGCGUAAUAGCUCACUGGUCGAGUCGGCCUGCGCGGAAGAUGUAACGGGGCUAAACCAUGCACCGAAGCUGCGGCAGCGAACGUAUCA
rnacentral:rRNA from 1 species